rnacentral:rRNA from 1 species
UACGUAGGGUGCGAGCGUUGUCCGGAUUUAUUGGGCGUAAAGAGCUCGUAGGCGGUUUGUCGCGUCGGAUGUGAAAACCCAGGGCUCAACCCUGGGCCUGCAUUCGAUACGGGCAGACUAGAGUAUGGCAGGGGAGACUGGAAUUCCUGGUGUGGCGGUGAGAUGCGCAGAUAUCAGGAGGAACACCGGUGGCGAAGGCGGGUCUCUGGGCCAAAACUGACGCUGAGGAGCGAAAGCGUGGGGAGCGAACAGG